rnacentral:rRNA from 1 species
GUGCCUACGGGAGGCAGCAGUAGGGAAUUUUCGUCAAUGGGGGGAACCCUGAACGAGCAAUGCCGCGUGAGUGAAGAAGGCCUUCGGGUCGUAAAGCUCUGUUGUAAGAGAAAAACGGUCAUUAUAGGGAAUGAUAAUGAAGUGAUGGUAUCUUACCAGAAAGCCACGGCUAACUACGUGCCAGCAGCCGCGGUAAUACGUAGGUGGCAAGCGUUAUCCGGAAUGAUUGGGCGUAAAGGGUGCGCAGGCGGUCCAGAAAGUCUGUAGUAAAAGGCAUUGGCUCAACCAAUGUAUGCUGUGGAAAC